UUCCGGUUGAUCCUGCCGGAGGCUACCGCUAUUGGAGUUCGAUUAAGCCAUGCGAGUCGCGAGUCUUAGGGACUCGGCGUACCGCUCAGUAACACGUGGGUAACCUGCCCUAUGCUGGGGGAUAACCUCGGGAAACUGAGAAUAGUACCCCAUAGUUCACCACGCCUGGAACGGUGGGUGGAUCAAAGCUCCGGCGGCAUAGGAUGGGCCUGCGGCGUAUCAGGUUGUAGGGGGUGUAAUGUACCCUCUAGCCCUCUACGCGUACGGGUGUUGAGAGACAUAGCCCGGAGAUGGAUUCUGAGACACGAAUCCAGACCCUACGGGGUGCAGCAGGCGCGAAAACUUGGCAAUGCGAGAAAUCGUGACCAGGGAACUCCAAGUGCAUCGGGUAAGACCGAUGCUUUUCUUGACUCUUCAAAGGUCUUGGAAUAAGGGGUGGGUAAGGACGGUGCCAGCCGCCGCGGUAAUACCGGCGCCCCAAGUGGUAGUCGCUUUUAUUGGGCCUAAAACGUCCGUAGCCGGUCUGGUACAUUCGUGGGUAAAUCAACCAGCUCAACUGGUUGAAUUCUGCGAGCACGGCCAGACUUGGGACCGGGAGAGGUGUGGGGUACUCUCAGGGUAGGGGUAAAAUCCUGUCAUCCUGAGAGGACCACCUGUU
rnacentral:rRNA from 1 species